AUACAUGAGCACGGAGAAGUCCAGGACAGGCUCAGAGAAGAACAAAUUUCAAUACUCAGAAGCAAGCCUAAUGGGGCCUUACUUACCCUGGAUGAUCUCAAUAGCAUGUCCUAUGCCUCAAAGGUUGUGAAAGAGACACUAAGGAUGUCAAAUGUCCUGUUAUGGUUCCCUCGAGUUACACUUGAUGACUGCAAUAUUGAAGGCGAGUUUAUCCUUAGCAUAUUACUCCAUGAUUUCCAAUAGUUUGUGAGACUGCAAUGAC